GAUGAACGCUGGCGGCGUGCCUAACACAUGCAAGUCGAGCGAAGCACCUUACUUGAUUUCUUCGGGAUGAAAGUAUUGUGACUGAGCGGCGGACGGGUGAGUAACGCGUGAGCAACCUGCCUUUCAGAGGGGGACAACAGUUGGAAACGGCUGCUAAUACCGCAUAAUAUACAGAGGGGGCAUCCCUUUUGUAUCAAAGGAGAAAUCCGCUGAAAGAUGGGCUCACGUCUGAUUAGCUGGUUGGUGGGGUAAAGGCCUACCAAGGCUGCGAUCAGUAGCCGGACUGAGAGGUUGAACGGCCACAUUGGGACUGAGAUACGGCCCAG
rnacentral:rRNA from 1 species